UUACAGGGAAGUCUCUGUGUGGGAUGAAGAAGUCAAGAGAUACAGGAGAGAUAACAGAAUUACACUCAAGUCUGAUAAUGCCAUACAAUUUCAUUGGAAACUGCAAAGAUUGAGGGAAGUUGAAGUAUUCACUCUGUGUGGUGUUCAUUCAGCCAGAUCCUAUUAAGCCUGAGCAUCACAAAUGCUCAUGGGAAAUUGAGAAAACUAUAGUUUAUAGAAGUAAACGGAUCAUUAACCAGAAAGGGUGUUCUGAAGGUUCACCAAGAUAAGGAAGAAGGCAAGGACUCAGGAGAGCACUAUGUAGGAAUGAAGAUUUGCAUUUGGCU
rnacentral:lncRNA from 1 species